rnacentral:rRNA from 1 species
UACGUAGGUGGCAAGCGUUGUCCGGAUUUACUGGGUGUAAAGGGCGUGUAGCCGGGUUGACAAGUCAGAUGUGAAAUCCUGCGGCUUAACCGCAGAACUGCAUUUGAAACUGUUGAUCUUGAGUACUGGAGAGGCAGACGGAAUUCCUAGUGUAGCGGUGAAAUGCGUAGAUAUUAGGAGGAACACCAGUGGCGAAGGCGGCUUACUGGACUGUAACUGACGUUGAGGCUCGAAAGCGUGGGGAGCAAACAGG